GAAUCAGCAUCGGCUAACUCCGUGCCAGCAGCCGCGGUAAUACGGAGGAUGCAAGCGUUAUCCGGAAUUAUUGGGCGUAAAGGGUCCGCAGGUGGCGUAUCAAGUCAGUUGUUAAAGGCCGGGGCUUAACCCUGGAUGAGCAGUUGAAACUGGUAGGCUAGAGUACGGUAGGGGUAGAGGGAAUUCCUAGUGUAGCGGUGAAAUGCGUAGAUAUUAGGAAGAACACCAGUGGCGAAGGCGCUCUACUGGGCCUGUACUGACACUGAGGGACGAAAGCUAGGGGAGCGAAAGGGAUUAGAUACCCCUGUAGUCCUAGCUGUAAACUAUGGAUACUAGGUGUUGCACGUAUCGACCCGUGCAGUAUCGUAGCCAACGCGUUAAGUAUCCCGCCUGGGGAGUACGCACGCAAGUGUGAAACUCAAAGGAAUUGACGGGGGCCCGCACAAGCGGUGGAGUAUGUGGUUUAAUUCGAUGCAACGCGAAGAACCUUACCAGGGAUUGACAUCCUUCGAAUUCCGAUGAAAGUUGGAAGUGCCUUCGGGAGCGAAGAGACAGGUGGUGCAUGGCUGUCGUCAGCUCGUGUCGUGAGAUGUUGGGUUAAGUCCCGCAACGAGCGCAACCCACGUUUUUAGUUGCCAUCAUUAAGUUGGGCACUCUAGAGAGAC
rnacentral:rRNA from 1 species